AUAAUUACUGUAAUCUUUUUCAAACUUCAGUAAAUUCUUCUCAUAUUUUAUUUUUUUUUGUUCCUUUGCCAUUUGAUGCGCCUCUUAAUUUCGGAUCUUUUGAAUUUUCACAUCUAGCAUUUCAUUUCUGGUGGUGCCUUGAGAUUGCUCUUUUCUCCUUUGAUGAAUUUUUUCAUUAACAGAAGUUACUUUUAUUCACUCAGAUUACAUUAUGUGGAUUGUUUCUUAUUAAUUUUAUUUGUUUCCUGCCAUUAAGAUAUUUGAGUGGUCAUACUCUUUGUAGGUUUACUAGUGACUUACAGUCAUACGUUAGUUCUUUUCAGCAGAGGAGAAAUAAUCUUUUUAUGAAAAUUCUAUUCACUUUUGACAAUUUGUGUUAAAAGCACCUAUUUUCUAUUUGAUCUCACGUCUCUACGUAAUAUAAAAUAUUGUGUGCAAUUACUUGUAGUACAGAUCUUUUAUCCAUUCUAAUCAACUAAGCCGUUUUAUGUAAAUAAUAGGCCACUAUGCAACAAGAUUUUUUAUUUUGUAGAACUGUCUUUUUGAUGUGAUUCACAUGAACCCUACCCUUCUUCGUAUGACAUAUAUCAUAUUAGGUUUUUCUUUUCUGAAAAAAGGAAAAGUGGUCAAGACGGACAUUCUUAUUUACAGAAUACAGGAUAGGUGGGUGGGGAUUUUCUCUCUGUGACCGAUUGUAUCUUGGAAAAUACUUCUGCUGCAGGGGUCUGUAAAUUUGUAUCUGUUGCAGUGUAGAUGAAUGGUUAACAACCCAUAAUUCUGAUGAUGAUACUCCUGCAUUUUGGAUAAAAAAAUUGAUGAGCUAGUAGCAUGAUGACAAAGAUAUGAUUUCACAGAAUUUCUUCUCAAUAUGCUUAGCUGAUGGACUUUAUUAUGCUUUCAAGGAUUAAACAAGUACUUGUGCGCUAAAUGAUUAUUAAAUGGAUGAUUGUCACAUUGGUGCGCUCUGAAAGAUGUGAUUGUUGUUGCUGAACGACAAGCCUGGCAAGAGCAAGCCGCUAGAAUAUUUCAUGGUUUUGCAGACAACUGAGAGUAGAAAAGUUGUUUAUCCUUUUUUUUAAAUUAUCCUUUUUUAUUGUUUUAAGAAUGCUUUAGAGGGUGAGCCUUGGUGCAAUGGAAAGGUUGCUCCAAUGUGACUUGGAUGUCACAAGUUCAAAACACAAAAAGCAUUACUUUGUACUCUCCAAACUGUUGUACAUUUAUUUUCUCAUGGAGUGAAAUAAUUAUAUUUCAUUUUA